rnacentral:rRNA from 1 species
UUGCCCUAGUAACGGCGAGUGAAGCGGCAAUAGCUCAAAUUUGAAAUCUGGCUCCUUUUAGGGGUCCGAGUUGUAAUUUGCAGAGGGUGCUUUGGUGUUGGUGGCGGUCUAAGUUCCUUGGAACAGGACAUCGCAGAGGGUGAGAAUCCCGUUUGUGGUCGCCUACCUUCGCCGUGUAAAGCCCCUUCGACGAGUCGAGUUGUUUGGGAAUGCAGCUCUAAAUGGGAGGUAAAUUUCUUCUAAAGCUAAAUACUGGCCAGAGACCGAUAGCGCACAAGUAGAGUGAUCGAAAGAUGAAAAGCACUUUGGAAAGAGAGUCAAACAGCACGUGAAAUUGUUGAAAGGGAAGCGCUUGCAGCCAGACUUGCCCGUAGUUGCUCACCUAGGCUUUUGCCUGGGGCAUUCUUCUGCGGGCAGGCCAGCAUCAGUUUGGGCGGUCGGAUAAAGGUCUCUGUCACGUACCUUCCUUCGGGAAGGACUUAUAGGGGAGGCGAAAUGCGACCAGCCCGGACUGAGGUCCGCGCUUCGGCUAGGAUGCUGGCGUAAUGGCUGUAAGCGGCCCGUCUUGAAACACGGACCAAGGAGUCUAACAUCUAUGCGAGUGUUUGGGUGUCAAGCCCGAGCGCGUAAUGAAAGUGAACGGAGGUGGGAACCCUUUGGGUGCACCAUCGACCGAUCCUGAUGUCUUCGGAUGGAUUUGAGUAAGAGCAUAGCUGUUGGGACCCGAAAGAUGGUGAACUAUGCUUGAAUAGGGUGAAGCCAGAGGAAACUCUGGUGGAGGCUCGCAGCGGUUCUGACGUGCAAAUCGAUCGUCAAA